UACGUAGGGUGCGAGCGUUGUCCGGAAUUAUUGGGCAUAAAGGGCUCGUAGGCGGUUUGUCGCGUCGGGAGUGAAAUCCACUGGCUUAACUGGUGGCUUGCUUUCGAUACGGGCAGACUGGAGGUAUGCAGGGGAGAACGGAAUUCCUGGUGUAGCGGUGAAAUGCGCAGAUAUCAGGAGGAACACCGGUGGCGAAGGCGGUUCUCUGGGCAUGUCCUGACGCUGAGGAGCGAAAGUGUGGGGAGCGAACAGG
rnacentral:rRNA from 1 species